rnacentral:misc_RNA from 1 species
GAUGAAGAACGUAGCGAAAUGCGAUAAGUAAUGUGAAUUGCAGAAUUCAGUGAAUCAUCGAAUCUUUGAACGCACAUUGCGCCCGCCAGUAUUCUGGCGGGCAUGCCUGUUCGAGCGUCAUUUCAACCAUCAAGCCCCCGGCUUGUGUUGGGGACCUGCGGCUGCCGCAGGCCCUGAAAAGCAGUGGCGGGCUCGCUGUCACACCGAGCGUAGUAGCAUACAUCUCGCUCUGGGCGUGCUGCGGGUUCCGGCCGUUAAACCACCUUCAUAACCCAAGGUUGACCUCGGAUCAGGUAGGAAGACCCGCUGAACUUAAGCAUAUCAAUAAGGGA